rnacentral:tRNA from 1 species
GGUGACGUGGCUGAAUGGUCAGGCAGCAGAUUGCAAAUCUGUUUCAUAGCGGUUCGAAUCCGCUCGUCACCUCC